CCCGCUGAACUUAAGCAUAUCAAUAAGCGGAGGAAAAGAAACUAACAAGGAUUCCCCUAGUAACGGCGAGUGAAGCGGGAUGAGCUCAAAUUUAAAAUCUGGCGGUUUAGGCCGUCCGAGUUGUAAUCUGGAGAAGUGUUUUCUGUGUUGGACCGUGUACAAGUCUCUUGGAACAGAGCGUCAUAGAGGGUGAGAAUCCCGUCUUUGACACGGACUACCAAUACUCUGUGAUACACUCUCAAAGAGUCGAGUUGUUUGGGAAUGCAGCUCAAAAUGGGUGGUAAAUUCCAUCUAAAGCUAAAUAUUGGCGAGAGACCGAUAGCGAACAAGUACCGUGAGGGAAAGAUGAAAAGCACUUUGGAAAGAGAGUUAAACAGUACGUGAAAUUGUUGAAAGGGAAACGCUUGAAGUCAGUCGCGUCGUCCGGGACUCAGCCUAGCUUCUGCUUGGUGUACUUCCCGGUUGACGGGCCAACAUCGAUUUUGGUCGGCGGAUAAAGGCAGGGGGAAUGUGGCACCUCCGGGUGUGUUAUAGCCCUCUGUCAGAUACGUCGACUGGGAUCGAGGACCGCAGCACGCCUUCAUGGCCGGGGUUCGCCCACGUAACGUGCUUAGGAUGUUGGCAUAAUGGCUUUAAACGACCCGUCUUGAAACACGG
rnacentral:rRNA from 1 species